UAAUCUAGUAAACCUACAUAAACUAUUCAAAAAAUAAAACUCAAUUUGGAAGAACAAAGCACAAAUUCCAGUGUCUGAAUGUAAUUUGUUGGCCAAUACCUUGAAUCAAAAAUUGUAACAUUCAUUGCAAUGGAAAAUACCUAAAACCACUCAGCGUCAAAGUUGGUAGAACUAUCGAAUCCAACUAUUGGUAACAAUUACAUCAUUUCAUAGACAGAACGAAAUUGAACAAGCUCUUUUUGGACGGGGGAAUGAUGGCUCCUGGGGACGCUGCUCUUGUGCCCAAAACUCGCUGGAACAAUUAGCUCAAAAGGUUGGGGGUUUUUGGGGCUCGGAAUGAUUCAAAGAGCGCGUCGUCGACAACUGAAGCCCUAUGAAAAAGUUUCAGUUUUUGCGCAAACAAAUUGGAUUAUUCGAUUACGUGUUUGUACAAGCGCAUUGUGCGACCAAGGGGAAGGCGGGCCGACCGGGGUGGAGUGCUGGAAAAUCAGUAAUGCUGUAAAUUGCAUUUCCCUUCAGGGGUUAGACAAUAUCCCCGGGGUUUCAGAAAAAUAGACGGAUGGCGUUUGAUGGAGAGGUGGAGCAGGAAAAUCUGUCAAUUUUAUGGGGAAAGCGCAGCGUUAAAUGCAUAAGCGGAAGUCAAAGUAUUUUUUGUUUUGAUAGAUGAGACUUGGAGGAAGUUAAGGAUGGCAUUUCUGACGGAAGUCCAGGAUUAAGUAAUCUCCAAGGUGGGAAAAUUUCAUCUAUCAAACGCCGGGAAAAAAUGGGUCAUUGGAAAAAGAAUCCCCUAAAGUCGAUUCAGAGGUUUUUUGCGCAAAAAAAUAUGAAUAAGAACAAUUGACCGACCUAAUCUCAGCUGCCUCUGAAAUACUUACUUGGAAACUUUUAAAAUCGUAUCAUAAAAAUAAUAUAUGACUAAGACAUGUAUGACAGCCAAAUCUCUGCCAAAUUCCGUGUGUAAAAUCAGUGUAAUAUUUUUUUUUUUGCUCCUGCAAUCAAUAUCGUCUUUUGACACAAGUUUCAUUAGAGAACAUAUUGAACCUUGGAAGGAAGGACUGCUCCUUUUCCCCCACUGAGUCAAGAUGAGCAAGGAGCAAGUGGCAAAAAGUGAGGAGAUGCACGUGCCAAAAGUCUCAAGUUUAGCUGUUGCUGUGGCUACUCGCAAAAAAUUUGCUCCGGGCGCUUUUAGCAAAAGUGUAACGAAGGACGGGGGACUGCGACUGGCAGGAAGGGCAUGAAGGACGAGGUGGCAGCCGGAAAAUUGAGGAAAAACUGAGACUGGGUUGGGAUGAGCACACAGAGAUGACGACAGCUUGGGCUUGUCAUGGCAGAACGCGACGUGAGCGGUGGCUUGGCCUUUGGCAAUUUUCUUAUUGCAUGCAUGUGGCAGCUAAAAAAAUACUGGCCAGGAACAAAACGUAGAGGGCAAAAAGGAUUGGGCCGGUAACGACAAAUAGUGUUGCAUAUUUAUGUGCGCAUCCACACAAAACAGGACUUUUGUAAUUAAAACGAGAGUGAAAAUGGUUUACUAUG
rnacentral:sRNA from 1 species